AACGAACGCUGGCGGCAGGCUUAACACAUGCAAGUUGAGCGCCCCGCAAGGGGAGCGGCAGACGGGUGAGUAACGCGUGGGAAUCUACCCAUCUCUACGGAAUAACGCAUGGAAACGUGUGCUAAUACCGUAUACGUCCUUCGGGAGAAAGAUUUAUCGGAGAUGGAUGAGCCCGCGUUGGAUUAGCUAGUUGGUGGGGUAAAGGCCUACCAAGGCGACGAUCCAUAGCUGGUCUGAGAGGAUGAUCAGCCACACUGGGACUGAGACACGGCCCAGACUCCUACGGGAGGCAGCAGUGGGGAAUAUUGGACAAUGGGCGCAAGCCUGAUCCAGCCAUGCCGCGUGAGUGAUGAAGGCCCUAGGGUUGUAAAGCUCUUUCGCCGGUGAAGAUAAUGACGGUAACCGGAGAAGAAGCCCCGGCUAACUUCGUGCCAGCAGCCGCAGUAAGAC
rnacentral:rRNA from 1 species